rnacentral:rRNA from 1 species
UGGGGAAUAUUGCACAAUGGGCGGAAGCCUGAUGCAGCGACGCCGCGUGGGGGAUGAAGGCCUUCGGGUUGUAAACUCCUUUCAGCAGGGACGAAGCUUUUGUGACGGUACCUGCAGAAGAAGCACCGGCUAACUACGUGCCAGCAGCCGCGGUAAUACGUAGGGUGCGAGCGUUGUCCGGAAUUAUUGGGCGUAAAGAGCUUGUAGGCGGUUUGUCGCGUCUGCCGUGAAAGCCCAGGGCUUAACCCUGGGUUUGCGGUGGGUACGGGCAGGCUAGAGUAUGGUAGGGGAGACUGGAAUUCCUGGUGUAGCGGUGAAAUGCGCAGAUAUCAGGAGGAACACCGAUGGCGAAGGCAGGUCUCUGGGCCAUUACUGACGCUGAGAAGCGAAAGCAUGGGGAGCGAAC